GCGUACAAUGGCAGUGACAAUGGGAUAAUCCCAAAAAGCUGUCUCAGUUCGGAUUGUCGUCUGCCAACUCGACGGCAUGAAGGUGGAAUCGCUAGUAAUCGUGGAAUCAGCAUGCCACGGUGAAUACGUUCCCGGGCCUU
rnacentral:rRNA from 1 species